AGCCCGGUGAGAGAGAACAGUAAGUUUGCAGAUGAAGAUGGAGCUCCCAGAAGUGUUCUGCCCUGGCAGCCUCCGAGGAGGCCGUGGACGGCGUCCCCUGGGACUCAGAAUGGCAGUCCACUAUGACAGGUGUCCCGAGAAGGAAGAAGGCAGCCAUGUGAAGACAGCGACACGAGCGGAGAGCACCACGUGACGGGGGAGGCGGGGAUGGAGAUGCGGCUGCGAGUCCAGGCCCCUCAGGAUUGCCGGCCACCCCCAGAAGCUCGGAAGGUAUUUUAGAUGAGUCCUGUGACUAGAACACCAAUUAGCAACUUCGGUGAGAGGGCGACUGUGAACAUUUCUGCGGAACACAACUGUAAUAAUUUGAGUGAUGUACGUCUUCGUUUCCUCGCUUGUCCAAACACAGCCGGUUGGUUCAUCGGCACAACACCCAAACACGCCAGCUUUCGUGCCUAGAAAAACCAUCGCUUUAUACACACUUUUCCGUUUCGCCACUACGGAGGGGUGUUUGUCAAGGUAAGAGAAGGGAACAUAUUUUAUUUAACAGCUUGUUUGCUCGGUUUUUAAAUAUUUAAACAUAUGGUAUGUGGGUCUCCAUUUGUGCUCCUGCAAAUAUUAGAGGCGGAUCUGCUUUUUUCUUUUUUAAAGUAACAGCUUUAUUGAUACUUUAUAGCAGAAUUCGCAUACCAUGAAGUGCACCCUCUUCAAGGAAAAAUUUGGUGGCAUUUGAUGUAUUUAUACAGUUACCUAUCCAUCACUAACUACUACCUGAUU